rnacentral:rRNA from 1 species
AUUGAACGCUGGCGGCAGGCCUAACACAUGCAAGUCGACCGAGUGGCGGACGGGUGAGUAAUAUCUGGGAAACUGCCCGAUGGGGGGGGAUAACUACUGGAAACGGUAGCUAAUCCCGCAUACCAUCGGAUGUGCCCAGAUGGGAUUAGCUAGUAGGUGGGGUAACGGCUCACCUAGGCAACGAUCCCUAGCUGGUCUGAGAGGAUGACCAGCCACACUGGGACUGAGACACGGCCCAGACUCCUACGGGAGGCAGCAGUGGGGAAUAUUGGACAAUGGGCGAAAGCCUGAUGCAGCCAUGCCGCGUGUAUGAUGAAGGCCUUCGGGUUGUAAAGUACUUUUAGCAGGGAGGCGGUACCCGCAGAAUAAGCACCGGCUAACUACGUGCCAGCCGCCGCGGUAAUAC